rnacentral:rRNA from 1 species
UAUAGAGUUGACCCUAACUCCUCACCCUUUGUGAAAUUACUUUUGAUGUUGCUUCGGUGGACCUUACCAAGUCUGCCGGGGGUUUACGAAUUUCUGUUUUAUAAAUUGGCUACUCUGAAACUGUGGGAAAAUAAAGUUAAAACUUUCAACAACGGAUCUCUUGGUUCUGGCAUCGAUGAAGAACGCAGCGAAAUGCGAUAGGUAAUGUGAAUUGCAGAACUCAGUGAAUCAUCGAAUUUUUGAACGCACAUUGCGCCCACCAGUAUUCUGGUGGGCAUGCCUGUUCGAGCGUCAUUUCAACCCCUUAUGCCUUUGUUGCAUAGCGUUGAGGGAUUAUUUUACGAAGUAGAGUAACCCUUGAAAAUGAGUGGCGGAGUUAUCUUAUUCUCUGGAUGUAGUAAUUAAAUUUUUUUAAUCUCACCAAUAGAAUAACUCGACAUCUAGCCAAGUAAACCUAUAUUUUUAGUGGUUGACCUCGGAUCAGGUAGGGAUACCCGCUGAACUUAAGCAUAUCAAUAAGCGGAGGAAAAGAAACCAACAGGGAUUGCCUUAGUAACGGCGAGUGAAGCGGCAACAGCUCAAAUUUGAAAUCUGGCUCAUUAGGGUCCGAGUUGUAAUUUGUAGAGGAUGCUUUAGGUGAGGUGCCUUCCGAGUUCUCUGGAACGGGACGCCGAA